UACGUAGGGUGCAAGCGUUAAUCGGAAUUACUGAGCGUAAAGCGUGCGCAGGCGGCUUUGCAAGACAGAUGUGAAAUCCCCGGGCUUAACCUGGGAACUGCAUUUGUGACUGCAUGGCUGGAGUGCGGCAGAGGGAGAUGGAAUUCCGCGUGUAGCAGUGAAAUGCGUAGAUAUGCGGAGGAACACCGAUGGCGAAAGCAAUCCCCUGGGCCUGCACUGACGCUCAUGCACGAAAGCGUGGAAAGCAAACAGG
rnacentral:rRNA from 1 species